AAGAGCCAAGUAUAUGAUGCAUGGCAUUUUUGGUCGAAAGGUGACGACCAAAAAUGCCAUGCAUCAUAUACUUGGCUCUUAGCAGCCUCCA
rnacentral:miRNA from 1 species